CGAAGCUUCUGAGCCUCUUUCCUUGCUGGGAUAAUGGGGAGGUUGAACUAUAGGGUUUUUGGAGUCUUUUCUAGUUCUAAAGUUCUAUGAUUUGAUAUAUUAGUCUCCUCUACUGUUACCAAAGUUUUUGUAUGUGUAUACCCUCUCCAAAGGAGGGGUAGUAUGUCUUAUUGUAAGGAAGUCACCAGGGACAAUGGGAAUGUGUUGUUAGACGAUUUUUCACUCUCUGUUGAGGCCAUGAGGGAUGACAAGUGGUUAAUACUGGGACAGGAAAUGCAGCAGGCUUGGACCAGGAAGUCAGGGACUUCCUCUCCUCUCUGGGAACCUAAUCUGAUUGCUCAUGGAAGAAGCCUGACUUUGGGUGUCUUUUGUGGCUACUCUGGAACAUCUACUGACCUGAUCACACAAGUUCCAUGGCAUUCCUCAGCAGGGGAGGAUUUUUGGUAUGUGGACAUUUCCCUGAAGAUCUGUAAUACUGGUGUCUGAGGCACUGGACGUUGACGACGCACUGCGAGAGAGGAGUGCUCUCAUCCUCCUUGCACUCUCAGAAACUACUGCCAACUGGGCAGUGAACCUCGGACUCAAUGGUGAUUCCCUAAGACAUAGGGCUGGUACUGGACUGCUGGCUUUGGUGGCAAGGUGGCCACAAUCUCAAUCUCAACUCUUUCUGCCUUGGACCUCAGCUACUGUUGCAGUUCUUUUGGCUGAAGAAUUUGACGGACUCCCUGUUUUCAACUGUUCUACAGUGAAACCACAGCUGCAACAAUGGUGGUAGAGAAUGGUUUCUUCUGGCAGACAAAGGGAUUUUCUUUGAAGUGAUUUAGGUCUUCAGAUUCAGAAUGGAACUUACACUACUGGUUUUCCUGGGUCUCCCCCUUGCAGACGGCAGAUAUUGAGACAGCUUCCAUAUCAGUGACAGAGAGGAACACUGCAUCCUUAGCAAGAAUUAUUCUUCAGUGUGACCUCGACUGCUUCAUUUCAUUUUAUAUUGCUAAACUCAACCCCACUUUUUGAUAAAACUAACAGACCAAGAACUCCCAAUUAUAGAGUGCCUGGCACUCUGUACUUUAUGUCCAGUCCUCCCAGUAACUGUGCACCUUCCAUGCGCUAGCCCCACUUUGCAGAUGAGGGAAGAAAAGUUCAGAAAGGUUAUGGAACCAGCUCAAGGUUAUGCAGAAAGUGGCACAUUUGCUAUUUGAACCAAGGCCUGCUUGGAUCCACAGCCUCUUUCCACUAUGCCAUGUGAUCUUUGGAAAUUCAGAGAACCUUAGAAAACAUUCAUAGUAUACUACCCGAGAAAGCACAGAGCCAAUGGCUGGACUGAGUAGCCAGCAGGAGGUCUGAAGUUCAGUAUUGUGUUCAGCUGCCACCUCCCACGAAGGCUAUUGCUGGGCCGCCAACGUGUUUUCAUUCCAGCCGCACCUCUCUUUGAGUAAUCUUGAUAUACACAAAAGCAUAAAGGUGCAGAGUGAUUUGUCCUUUUUCAGAAGUGUCUUUUUUUUAAAUAAAAUAUCUCUUUUCCAAGUUCCUUUGAAUAGAUAGCCCUACUAGGGUAUUUAAGGAUGAUUCAAC
ensembl:lncRNA